CUUCGGUGAUGAUACGAUGACGAGUCAGAAGGGACAUCCUCGUGUCAUUGCAAGCCUGCUCUGUGCCACGUUCUGUGGUGCUGUGCUAAGGCUGCCUUGGCCAGGAUGUCCUGCUCAUUGGAUGAUUUAGAGGCAUUUGUCUGAGAAGG
ensembl:snoRNA SNORD15 Small nucleolar RNA SNORD15